rnacentral:lncRNA from 1 species
UCCACCAAUUUUGCACCAAUUGUCAAAAGUGGGCCCCACCACUUUUGACCAAAAAACAAAAAUAAAAAAAUGGUGAACAGCAACGCGGAAUGAACAGUACACGCGGAAUGAACAGUACAUGCGGAAUGGACAGUAACUAUGAAUGGUGACGUGAAUGGUAAAUUUUGUCUCAUAUCAACAAUCUCCACCUUGAGACAUAAUUUACUCUUGUAACAAAAAA